UACGAAGGUGGCAAGCGUUAUUCGGAUUUACUGGGCGUACAGGGAGCGUAGGCGGUUCGGUAAGCCCUCUGUGAAAUCUCCGGGCUUAACCCGGAAAGGUCAGCCGAAACUGCGGGGCUAGAGUGCAGAAGGGGCAACUGGAAUUCUCGGUGUAGCGGUGAAAUGCGUAGAUAUCGAGAGGAACACCUGCGGCGAAGGCGGGUUGCUGGGCUGACACUGACGCUGAAGCGCGAAAGCUAGGGGAGCGAACGGG
rnacentral:rRNA from 1 species